UCUCUUUCAAAAUUUGAGAUCUCUGUCCAGAUCUUUUUCUUUUCAAUUUGGAUAUCAUUUCCAAGUCUGAGACGUAAGUUGUUGAUUAGAUACUGAAUCACUUGUGCUGAUCUACCUUUAAUUCCUUAAAAUAUAAUAAUAAUUAUUAUUAUCAAAUGCUUAAUCCAGAUUAGUGAUUUUUGUUGAAUUGGGUUCUGGAGAUAUUCAAUGGCUGAACAAUCGUCGAUUGUUAGUGUUUUUGGGUUCACCAAGUGACUGUUGUUGCUAGAUUUCAUGAUCUGUGUGGUAUUCCCGAUCCAAACUUGCAAAACUCAACAGUUUCAAGGAUGUGAUAGCGGAUCGAAUAUGGUUGGGGAUAGCGGAUCGAAUAUGUUUGGUUUAAGGAAUGAGGGGGUAGCCAAGGAUGGAUGGAUUAUUAGUAGCAUGUUUUACAGAUAGGAAACAAAUUAAAACGGAGAAGGGGUAUAUAUACCGCCGAACUAACGAAAAUGAUAUGUAAAUACCCUCCGUUAUAUUAUUGGGUUAUAAAUAUCCCUGCAGUCUAGCUUUUGGUUCGUAUAUACCCUUAAGUUAGACGACAAGAAACGUAUCAUCAUCUCAACGAAUUAACCCAAUUUCCCUGGAUUUAAUAACCCUUAAUAACCCGCCUGAUACCUGACGCACUACCCAACCCAAUGAACUGGGUGAAUUCCAUUGUUGGCCUUGCCGGAAUGGCUGGAACUGCUACGCCUUGAACCACUCAGCCAUCUCUCCUACAUAAUGGUUAUGGCCCCAAAAUCAAGUGAAUAGCAAGUCAGUCCAGUGUUUUGGACGGCGAAAGGCAACAAGGCCCUGCCUCAUCACGCGGCGAGGCGAGCGGCGAAGUGAUCACCUUUUGAAAGUGUGGCGACAAUUAAUACAAAAAUUUAAAAUAAUUAAUUGCAUAUGGAAAUGAUCAAAAUUUCAAUAGCACUAAUAUAUUAGGAAAUAUUUCAAGUCAAAAAUUAAAAAUAGAUAGUAGAUAGAUACUAAAAGUCUAGAACUUGAAUGACUCAACAACAAUUACGAUAUUAAUUAGUAUAUUAAAUAAGUUAUACAAAAAAUAGAUUUUUUUACAUACUGUUUACUGUUAAAGACUUACAGUAAUAGUGUAAUACAGUGUGCGGAAAAAAGAAGAGAAAAAGAGGAAGAAAUAGAAGAAGAAAAACAGAGGAAGAAGAGAAAAAGAGGAAAAAAAAAAAAGAAGAAUAAGAAAAAGACUACCAGUUGAUUCGCGGAGUAAGAAGAAGAAGAAAGAAGAAAAAAAAUAAGAGAAAUCAGUACUUACCUGUUGCUGAAGAAGCCGCUGCCGGUGCUGGAAUCAUAGUCGCACUUGUGACUUGCCUUAGGUUGCAGUCGCAAAUCGCAAAUCGCAAAACAUGUAAGACAGUCAAACCAAAAUAGGAAAAUAAUCCCUAAAAUUAUCUUUUAUCUCUAAAACCCUAAUUUUUUUAAAAAAUAAAAAGGCAACGCCAUUGUCGCCUCGCCGCACCAUGUCGCCAACCUCACCUUGGCGUCGCCUUUUGCAGGUCUCAGCGCCACGAAGGCAGGUGGCGAAUAUGCCUUGGUUCGCCAUUCGCUAUUGGCGACGUGGCGAGCACCAUUGAUAACACUGUGUCAGUAAUAACCCAUAUUUCAUUAUUGGACUAGGUACGACCAAUCCAUUUUAACUUCAACUGAAAAUUUUUCAUCAAAGUCGCAACAAACAAUGAUUUUUUUUUCCUUCGAGGCACCGGGAUGAAGAUACAAUUUUUCGUAAAAAUUGUUAAAAAAAUUCAAUUCAUUUUUGCACAAGUAACGUUUCCAUCUUUUUCUGAUAUUUGUGUAACGGUUAAUUCAAUGAAUUAGAACGAAUCAACUGGUUGUCGGUCUAUAUCUUUUAAACUAUAGUUAAUGGCUACUCAUCCAGCUCGAGCAAGAAUAAAAAGAACCAAGCUACCGGAAUAGGUCAACUGACUAACGGACCUCAUUUUACUCAUUGUACUCCAUGAAUUUACAGAGCACCAACGUAGAUGAAGAUGGACUCGGUUAUCUACCAGUGCUGGUACUACUACAAAUCUUCUCUAUGUUGCCAAAUAAUAAAGGAAUUUUCAGAACCUGUGGAUUAUCAUCUACAUGGAGCUUUCUUUGGAAAUCCCUUCCACUAUCACUCACUUUCCACUUCCUAAACUAUCCCCCCGAUUACAACAUCAACAAAAAACUCCUCUCUUAUGUUACUUCAACCAAUAGACAGCUUCAUCAUAUCCGUUCUUGCAAGAAAAUCCAAGCAUUGAGUUUUUUCCCUUAUAAAUACAAGGAUUAUCUUGAACAAGACUUGAAUUUCUGGGUUGACUUUGCUACUAACAUUGUGAAUGUGGAAUAGCUUACGUUGAAAUUUUGUUGGAUUAAUUACCCAGAUUUUGCUUCUGUGAAAUUCUUUUGGGUCAUUACUGCAAUGGAAUUCCAGCUUAGUUGAAGUGCUUGUAUUAGAAGUGGUCAAAAUGAAUUUGAAGAAAUAACUUUGAAUAUUUGAAGCUUCAUUUGGUUGGGUCAUAUUAUGAGUUAUUUUGGGUAUUGGCUGGGGCAAAAAUAAUAUUGGUUUUUUAAAUUAAUCUCACAGCUCCACGUGUCUAUUUUAAGUCUGGGAUCGAGACAUUUAAUAGAUGAAGGAUGUAUACUUCCCAAAAGUUAGACGGCAGGGGUAUUUAUAACCCAAUAGUAUAACGGAGGGUAUUUACAUACCAUUUUCGAUAGUUCAGGGGUAUAUAUGUCCCUUCUCCGAAGUUAAAAUGAAAAAGAACAACGAGAAAGAUGGGAAUAAUACACCGCUUUUUGCACUUGUAAAUGCACAGUACAUAACCCAACACAUCAAACAUGCCCAAAUAGUUUAUGAACCUCCUUUAAUUAUAUAUAAAUUGAUUGGAUAGGCACAGUCUAGCCUCAUCUCGAUGGUCAUGUACAAAGUUUGGUAUAUCAAUGCAAAUAUGCAACUUUUUUGCUCACAAAUGAUCAAUAGAGACGACCUCUUUAAAAAAUAAAAUACAUUGUACUCCCUUGAUCCUUGUAACAAACAAGAGAGUGAGUGGGAUUGUAUAGCGGUAGUGAACUUUGGUGAUCGAUGAAACUUCUGUAAGCCACUUACAAUUGUAGUUAGUAUGGAUCUUAGGAAGAUUGCGAUUUCUCAUGGUUAGCUGCUAGAGGAGUGAUUUUGGCAGCGGAGAACCUUAGGAAAAGAAAGCUCAUAUGCAUUAGCUGGUGUUUCUUAUGAAAGGAGACGGGUGAAGAUGUUGAUCAUCUUCUACUACAUUGCAACCUGACCUCUGGUCGGAUAUGUUUAGCUGGUUUGGUAUGUCUUGGGUGAUGCCUAGAUCUGUGAAGGAUACAUGGUCUUGGUAGAAUUCUAGAAGAAGCAGGAGAAAGUGCAGAUCUUGGAAUGUUGUCCCUUUAGCUUUGAUGUGGAUCGUUUCGACAGAGAGAAACAGGAUGGCUUUGAAGGGGUAGAAAUGACUUUUGGGCAGUUUGGAGUAGUCUCCGGCCCCUUAUUUAUGUUUGGUGACCCAUGUAGUGCCGAUUGUUUAGAGGAUUGGGUGUCUUUUGUAGAGAACCAUGUUGUGUUGUAGGUUCUUUACUUUUUGGUAUACUUUUAUACGGCCGAUUUUGACCCUGUGAUUAAUGAAACUGUUUGCAUGAUCAAAAAAAAAAAAAGUAAAGACUGCGAUGUCCCACCACCUCCCAUAUUUGCCACUCUUUUGUUUGCAGUUUUUCAUUCUGAAAUAUUCAUGUUUUUAUUUUAUACCAUUAAGCUAAUAUUGCUCCUAGGGUUUUGGUCUAAUGUAGGGGGCGACGGAUGUAGUGUGUGGCUUGUGAGUUAAUCCUUGCCCUGUAGCUUUGGUUUGGACUCUGUGUUAAAAAAUCUACAAAAUAAGUACAACUGAUUGAUUUUGAAUUCAGUAAAUCAAAUGAAAUGUGAUAGAACCUCAAGCUAGAACCAUAAUGUUUAAAUCUUGGAUCUGCCUUUGGUUUAGUGGUAAGGGCGCAACAUAUGACGUGGGGGUUAGCUGCAUGUCACGGAACUCGAACCUUGUCACAGACAAAAACUUGGUAUUUAAGUGGAGGAGGAAGGUAGAGGAGCGGUUUCAUUUGUUAUCUACCGAGUUUUGUACCGAACACCACAUACUUCGAGAAUUUCUCAGUUAAUAAAAAGGAGAAAUUUUAGUUUAUUGGGGCAUUCUGGAUUCAUAUACAUUUGUGGUAUAACAGGUUAACACCCCCUAGGGUAUUUUCCUCCAAUAAAAUUUGUUUUUCCUUAAAAAAAAAGAAAAAGAAAAGAAAACUGCUUAUAUGCAAAAAAGAAAAGAAAAGGAAACUACUAUAUGCUUUUGCCUUGUAGUCUAUGGUUUUUCUUUGAGAAAGUAACAACUUGUAUUCUAUUUCCGAAAAAUCAGAAACCAGCCACUUAAUAUUACAGGUUUCCUAAAUACAAAUGUGGUAAGAGUAUUAGGAAGAUCUUCAACCAUAUAACAAAAUUACACAGUCUUAAGACAUUCAUUACUGAUUCUAGAUCUUCCAUAUACUCCUGCUUGCACCAAAAAUGAAGCAAAACUAAACAAUUCAUGGCGUCGGAAUAUUGUUGCUCUUAUUCUUGAAGCAUCUCUUCUCGCCAUACAGACCACCACAUGCAUGCAGUUCAAACCCUUCAUAUUAAUGAGGAUUUCCCGCAAAAGAUUGCUGAUCUUGCAGUGUAGGAAUAGGUGGGUUACUGUCUCAACCUUUUCUUCUCAUAGAAUCUAUGUUCUAUGUUGUAACAACUUAUUACGUUAUGACCCAAUCAUUUGGCACUGAAGCUUACAGUUUCCUAGUUUCCAUUUGCUAAAAUUUUCUUUAGCAAGUUAACAUAAGAUGAUCAAAUUCAUUCACAGAGAAGAUAUGAAUAGUAUUCUAUAUUGUGUGUUAAACUGAGUUAUUAUGUCAAUUACUCAAUUAGUUAGUAGUUGCAAAAUUAUUUUCCAAAACAAAAAAACUACUCUGCUGGCUCUAUCAGUGUUAUUAAACCGAAAAAGUGAUAUUACUCGAUGAGAUUGUUCAACGCUUUUCUAGUUAAUGGAGUUGCUAGGGAGAGAGGAAGGUUAUUGGGUAAUACCUACGGAUGUCAUAUAAUUAAUUUGCUUAUCUGACUUUAUACAUUCUUCACCAUAUCUUUGCAGCCAUGGGAUUUUUUGAGGAAGACAUUUAUUGAGAAGCAGGAA